CAAAUAAUACUCUGAGCUGGGUAAUCUUUUUUAUAAUUGGAUCUUGUUUUUUUUUUUUUUUUUUGUAGGGAUAGAGUUGGAGCUGGUUCCUCUUUAGAAUUGAUGGACUUGUUCCAAGGAUCACUUUUUGUCAUCGUUUAGAUGAUUUGUGGCUAAGGGUUUUGUACAAAAGACUGAUCUUUCAUCUUAGCUAUAUGCCUAUAUAUGUGGACCUUCUCGCCAACUCGAUGGACCACAUUUUUUACUUGCUGGUGGAUCAUGUACACAAUUUGCAUCUUUAAAUACAACCAUCAUUGU
rnacentral:lncRNA from 1 species